CGGGCGCGGCGCCGGUCUAAGUCCCUUGGAACGGGGCGUCAUAGAGGGUGAGAAUCCCGUAUGUGACCGGUGACCAACCCCAUGUGAAACUCCUUCGACGAGUCGAGUUGUUUGGGAAUGCAGCUCAAAAUGGGUGGUAUAUUUCAUCUAAAGCUAAAUACCGGCCAGAGACCGAUAGCGCACAAGUAGAGUGAUCGAAAGAUGAAAAGCACUUUGGAAAGAGAGUCAAAAAGUACGUGAAAUUGUUGAAAGGGAAGCGCUCGCAACCAGACCUGCCCGCGGCCGAUCAACCGUCCUUCUGGGCGGUGCACUCGGUCGCGAUCAGGCCAGCAUCGGUUCGGGCGGCCGGAUAAAGGCCCCGGGAACGUAGCUCCUUUCGGGGAGUGUUAUAGCCCGGGGUGCAAUGCGGCCAGCCUGGACCGAGGACCGCGCUUCGGCUAGGAUGCUGGCGUAAUGGUUGUGAGCGGCCCGUCUUGAAACACGGACCAAGGAGUCUAACAUCUAUGCGAGUGUUUGGGUGUCAAACCCAUGCGCGUAAUGAAAGUGAACGGAGGUGGGAACCCUCGCGGGCGCACCAUCGACCGAUCCAGAUGUCUUCGGAUGGAUUUGAGUACGAGCAUAGCUGUUGGGACCCGAAAGAUGGUGAACUAUGCCAGAAUAGGGUGAAGCCAGAGGAAACUCUGGUGGAGGCUCGCAGCGGUUCUGACGUGCAAAUCGAUCGUCAAAUUUUGGCAUAGGGGCGAAAGACUAAUCGAACCAU
rnacentral:rRNA from 1 species